ensembl:lncRNA
AUGGAAUCGGGGCGUGGCCUUAAGGGGGCGGGGCUUAAAUGGAGGGGGCGUGGCCUAAGCUUAAAUAGGGGCUGGGCUUUCUAUGGGGUCUCACUUAUGGGUCUGCCCCCCAUUUCCUGCCCCCCCCCCCCCCCCAAUCUCUUUCUGCCCCCCAACUUGUGGGUCCGCAGGUUUCCUGCCCCCCAGCAGCAGCCUCCCCCUGCAGAAGCAAUUGGAGCACGCCAACCAGCAGUCCGGCUUCAGCGACGCCGCUCUGCACAACCCCCAGCUGCUGCCCAGCGCCCCAUUGCCCACCGUGGGGAAGGGGGCGCUGCCCUUCCCCCACGCCCGCCCAGCCUCCCCCGGGAGUUUCCAGCCCCACGGAGCCAGCGGGCAGCAACCCCAUGGGGUAAGUGUGGGGCUGAGCCCCAUAGAUGGGUCCCAACACCCCUUUACCCCUCACUUAUGGGUCCCGACCCCCCACUUAUGGGUCCCAAUAUCCCCCUAUCCCCACUUAUGGGCCCCAACCCCACUUAUGGGUCCCCAUCUAUUCCUAUGGGUUCUAUGGCUCCCUAUACCCCACUUAUGUGUCCCAAUCCCCCCCCAUGCCCCCCACUUAUGGGUCAGGCCCCACUUAUGGGUCCCAAUCCCCCCAUUACCCCCCACUUAUGGGUCCCCAUGUCUUCCUAUGGGUCCCACAACCCCCAUACCCCACUUAUGGGUCCCAGCCCCCACUUAUGGGUCCCCAUGUAUUCCUAUGGGUCCCACAACCCCCAGACCCCACUUAUGGGUCCCAAACCCCCCCCCCACCCCACUUAUGGGUCCCAAUCCCCCCCCAUACCCCACUUAUGGGUCCCAGCCCCCACUUAUGGGUCCCCAUGUCUUCCUAUGGGUCCCACAACCCCCAUACCCCACUUAUGGGUCCCAACCCCACUUAUGGGUCCCCAUGUCUUCCUAUGGGUCCCACAACCCCCAUACCCCACUUAUGGGUCCCAACCCCCACUUAUGGGUCCCCAUGUGUUCCUAUGGGUCCCANCCCCCCCCCCACCCGUCACGCUCCGUUCCUGCCCCACCCCCCCCAGGGGCAACGCUUCUACCACAAGUGAUGACGUCACUUCCUGUUCGUCCCGCAAUGAUGACGUCACUUCCGCCCGGAUGACCCUCCCACACGCUCCGUCCCACAUGGAUGACGUCACUUCCUGUCCAGCCGCCAUUGUUAAUAAAGUCACUUCCGGUCCUUUCCCGCACUGAUGACGUCACUUCCUCUCCCGCCGCCAUCUUUAAUAGUCAUUUCCGGUUUUAACCCCCAUACCCCCUCAUUUCCGGUUCGUUACCACCCCCCUCCUCCCCUCCCCCCCAAACAAGAUCCAAGAUGGCCGCCCUAUAGAUCCAAGAUGGCUGCCCUUUGGAUCCAAAAUGGCGGCCCUAUGGAUCCAAGAUGGCUGACAAGAUGGCGGUGCUAUAGAUCCAAGAUGGCUGCCGUAUGGAUCCAAGAUGGCUGACAAGAUGGCGGCCCUAUGGAUCCAAGAUGGCUGACAAGAUGGCGGUGCUAUAGAUCCAAGAUGGCUGACAAGAUGGUGGCUUUAUGGAUCCAAGAUGGCAGCCAUAUGGAUCCAAGAUGGCUGACAAGAUGGCGGCCCUAUGGAUCCAAGAUGGCUGACAAGAUGGCGGUGCUAUAGAUCCAAGAUGGCUGCCGUAUGGAUCCAAGAUGGCUGACAAGAUGGUGGCUUUAUGGAUCCAAGAUGGCGGCUCUAUGAAUCCAAGAUGGCGGCCCUAUGGAUCCAAGAUGGCUGCCCUAUAGAUCCAAGAUGGCGGC